GACGAACGCUGGCGGCGUGCCUAAUACAUGCAAGUAGAACGCUGAAGCGAGGAGCUUGCUCUUCUUGGAUGAGUUGCGAACGGGUGAGUAACGCGUAGGUAACCUGCCUUGUAGCGGGGGAUAACUAUUGGAAACGAUAGCUAAUACCGCAUAACAAUGGAUGACACAUGUCAUUUAUUUGAAAGGGGCAAUUGCUCCACUACAAGAUGGACCUGCGUUGUAUUAGCUAGUAGGUGAGGUAAUGGCUCACCUAGGCGACGAUACAUAGCCGACCUGAGAGGGUGAUCGGCCACACUGGGACUGAGACACGGCCCAGACUCCUACGGGAGGCAGCAGUAGGGAAUCUUCGGCAAUGGGGGCAACCCUGACCGAGCAACGCCGCGUGAGUGAAGAAGGUUUUCGGAUCGUAAAGUUCUGUUGUAAGUCAAGAACGGGUGUGAGAGUGGAAAGUUCACACUGUGACGGUAGCUUACCAGAAAGAGACGGCUAACUACGUG
rnacentral:rRNA from 1 species